GUUCCCUGGACCUUAGACUUCCCAGCCUCCAAACUGGUUGUUGUGGAAGUGAAGGGAUCCGGGAGAAGUGCUUCCUGCCUGGCACUUAGGACAACCGCUUUGGGCUGAUCACUGCAUCCUUCUGCCCCUGUCUGGUCAACUUUCCCCUCCCUCCCUCUAUUUGAAGGGUCAUGGCACAUGGGACCUUUGCCUUCAGAGGACUCAUCUCCAGAAUGCAUCUUUCUCAGGAGACAGACCACUGACAAUAUUGCUAUGGGUUCUAAAAUGGCCAGAAACCUGGGUUAUCUUUCCAGUUAUCAAGAACAUGCCAUUGGAUCCUUGAUAACAACUCCUGUGAGGAUGCUCAGGACCCUGUACCUGGCUGGGCAUAGGCCUACAACAGAACUGGCUCUGAGUGGUCUUGCAGCAGCAGUUGAUGUCACCUUGACAUGGAGUGCAGCAACUGUCCCACGACACUGGAUGUCCAUGUAGUCAUCUGCCUCAUCUCCUUUCUAAGGAGCCCAAUGACAUCAUGGGGGGUAUUGACUUAUCUCAAGAAGACCCAUUAGGAAGAAUAUUGACUACCCAGGAGUGAGCUGCCAUGUGCAUUCACACAUUGGAAAACAUUUAUCACAACAGAAAACUGGGUAGCUUCUGAGCUCCAAGGAAUACCUAGAAUUUAUCGGGGGUUUGAGUUCUUCUUUCCUAACCAUUUUUCCAAUUUCUCAUACCCAAGCCCAUUUCUUUUCUUUUCCUUUUUUUGCCUCCAAAGAAUCAGGCUAACAACGUCCAUAUGAUUAUUGCACUUUAUUGAUUUGAUUUAUUUUCGGGAGUUAUUGACCCAGUAGAAAUAAAUGACUCCUCAGAGUUGAA